rnacentral:lncRNA from 1 species
CCCGGCAGCCUCCUGCCCUCGGGGCACUCGCUCCCCCCGAGGUGUACUCCCCGAGGGCUGGGGGAGCGCAUUCCCUCCCGUCCUACUGAUUAACUUUCAGCAAAUGGGGAUGCCCAAAGGAGCAGAUAGCGAGUGACCUGUGGCCCUGCUGUUUGAUUCUGGAUGGAGUUACGUUUAGGAGCCUGGCAGCAAACUGGGGCACCUGUUCAAUUAGUGAUGAUGCCAUACUCUGUAAUAAGGUGAAAUGGCCAUAAGAAGAGAGAGA